rnacentral:lncRNA from 1 species
GCUUCAUGCGGGCCGGAAAGUGGCCUCUUGUGUUCGUGUUGGCACAUGGCGUUGGCACACGGCAGGGGUUCGGUUUAUGCCGUCCACUGGUAGCAAACAUUUAUUGAAUGGCAGGCAUCCUGCCAACCACGAAAGACUCAGUCUUCAAAAUGCUCGCAAAUGGACAAAUAAACUGCAAUGAAAGCCUUUAAAAAUCCACGUUUAUUUUGUUUCUAGUUUGGAGGUUUCAAGCCACUGCAUAUACCAAAUGCUUCAGCCAACUUGGAUAUGAACAUUCGAGCCUCCAAAAAUAGGCAGCAGACUCACGGCCCGAAUCUCAUUUCUCCACACACUUCUGCCUGCCCUCCGAACAGACUUCCUUCGGACUCCAGCUUUCACCAAGGCUGGAGUAGCGCCCACGAAACGAGCCUGAACCGUCUCUGGGAUAUCAAGCAAGUAACUACUUAAGCCGUCGGGC